UACGUAGGGUGCAAGCGUUGUCCGGAAUUAUUGGGCGUAAAGAGCUCGUAGGCGGUCUGUUGCGUCGGCUGUGAAAACCCGGGGCUCAACUCCGGGCCUGCAGCCGAUACGGGCAGACUAGAGUUCGGCAGGGGAGACUGGAAUUCCUAGUGUAGCGGUGAAAUGCGCAGAUAUCAGGAGGAACACCGGUGGCGAAGGCGGGUCUCUGGGCCGAUACUGACGCUGAGGAGCGAAAGCGUGGGGAGCGAACAGG
rnacentral:rRNA from 1 species